UGGAUGCGGGUGCUAUACAUGCAAGUCGAGCGAACAGAUAAGGAGCUUGCUCCUUUGACGUUAGCGGCGGACGGGUGAGUAACACGUGGGUAACCUACCUAUAAGACUGGGAUAACUUCGGGAAACCGGAGCUAAUACCGGAUAACAUUUGGAACCGCAUGGUUCUAAAGUGAAAGAUGGUUUUGCUAUCACUUAUAGAUGGACCCGCGCCGUAUUAGCUAGUUGGUAAGGUAACGGCUUACCAAGGCGACGAUACGUAGCCGACCUGAGAGGGUGAUCGGCCACACUGGAACUGAGACACGGUCCAGACUCCUACGGGAGGCAGCAGUAGGGAAUCUUCCGCAAUGGGCGAAAGCCUGACGGAGCAACGCCGCGUGAGUGAUGAAGGGUUUCGGCUCGUAAAACUCUGUUAUUAGGGAAGAACAAAUGUGUAAGUAACUGUGCACGUCUUGACGGUACCUAAUCAGAAAGCCACGGCUAACUACGUGCCAGCAGCCGCGGUAAUACGUAGGUGGCAAGCGUUAUCCGGAAUUAUUGGGCGUAAAGCGCGCGUAGGCGGUUUCUUAAGUCUGAUGUGAAAGCCCACGGCUCAACCGUGGAGGGUCAUUGGAAACUGGGAAACUUGAGUGCAGAAGAGGAAAGUGGAAUUCCAUGUGUAGCGGUGAAAUGCGCAGAGAUAUGGAGGAACACCAGUGGCGAAGGCGACUUUCUGGUCUGUAACUGACGCUGAUGUGCGAAAGCGUGGGGAUCAAACAGGAUUAGAUACCCUGGUAGUCCACGCCGUAAACGAUGAGUGCUAAGUGUUAGGGGGUUUCCGCCCCUUAGUGCUGCAGCUAACGCAUUAAGCACUCCGCCUGGGGAGUACGACCGCAAGGUUGAAACUCAAAGGAAUUGACGGGGACCCGCACAAGCGGUGGAGCAUGUGGUUUAAUUCGAAGCAACGCGAAGAACCUUACCAAAUCUUGACAUCCUUUGAAAACUCUAGAGAUAGAGCUUUCCCCUUCGGGGGACAAAGUGACAGGUGGUGCAUGGUUGUCGUCAGCUCGUGUCGUGAGAUGUUGGGUUAAGUCCCGCAACGAGCGCAACCCUUAAGCUUAGUUGCCAUCAUUAAGUUGGGCACUCUAGGUUGACUGCCGGUGACAAACCGGAGGAAGGUGGGGAUGACGUCAAAUCAUCAUGCCCCUUAUGAUUUGGGCUACACACGUGCUACAAUGGACAAUACAAAGGGCAGCUAAACCGCGAGGUCAUGCAAAUCCCAUAAAGUUGUUCUCAGUUCGGAUUGUAGUCUGCAACUCGACUACAUGAAGCUGGAAUCGCUAGUAAUCGUAGAUCAGCAUGCUACGGUGAAUACGUUCCCGGGUCUUGUACACACCGCCCGUCACACCACGAGAGUUUGUAACACCCGAAGCCGGUGGAGUAACCAUUUAUGGAGCUAGCCGUCGAAGUGACAAAUU
rnacentral:rRNA from 1 species